UACGGAGGGGGCUAGCGUUGCUCGGAAUUACUGGGCGUAAAGCGCGCGUAGGCGGACCUGCAAGUCGGGGGUGAAAGCCCGAGGCUCAACCUCGGAACUGCCUUCGAUACUGCGGGUCUCGAGUCCGGGAGAGGUGAGUGGAAUUCCUAGUGUAGAGGUGAAAUUCGUAGAUAUUAGGAAGAACACCAGUGGCGAAGGCGGCUCACUGGCUCGGUACUGACGCUGAGGCGCGAAAGCGUGGGGAGCAAACAGG
rnacentral:rRNA from 1 species